UAUACAGCAACAUAUGAAAAUUCUCAUUCUAAUAUGUCACUUUGCAUUUUUAGGUUAUGGUCCAAGUCUUUAUCUUUUUUCCUUCUCUAAUUGAAACACAGCUGAUACUCCUUCAAUCUCUGGGUGAGAAGCACUGCCACUUCUAAGUAAGGAAAGCGAACAAAAAAAAAGUAGAAGAUCCCUGUUGCGAAGCUGUGAUCUUGUGGCCGUUUUACACAGUCUUCCUCCCCGUUUUCUGAAGACGCGAGGGAAAUUAAAACAAACUUCUUGGAGCUUUUUCUUAUAUAAAGGUCUGACUUGAUUCCUGAUAGCAAGAAAUUUGGAGUGCUGUCAUGGGUGUUUUAUCUACACCGGGAUACCUCGAUAGGCAUUGUGGACUGAUUUAGUGUCAAAGGGCUGGAAAUGGUGACUGUCAUGUUACCUGAGGAACCACACUGAUGUGCAGAAACACAGUGUGUGGAAACGGG
rnacentral:lncRNA from 1 species